CACCGGGAACUGAAGCAGAGGCGUCUGGUCUCGCCGCCCAGAGCCCGACCCUGCGCAUGGAGCAUGCGCACACGCCCCAACACCAAGGGCCAGAAAGGGCAGUGACACCUGCGAUCAACAGGUCCCGGGAGACCCGCCCCACUCUCCGCCUCGUGCCGGUCCCGCCUCCUCGGGAAAGGCCCCGCCUUCACGCUCCUCGAGCUAACCCCGCCCCGCACUCGAUUUCCCGGCUUUCCGGACCUGGCGAACUGUAUUCCCGCGGGGGUUCGACUGGGCGCGCGAUCCAGUUGACUUACUCCAAGGCGCGAGAUCCCGCGAGAGCAGGAACUUGAACAUUUCCCCUAAAGCAAGAGUGGAGCGUUAUUAGGGCUUAGCUGUUGGAGAAGGUGCGUGCCGGUUGGCUGUGUGGUGUAGAAGGAAGAAGGGGUUAGUUCUUCUCAAGCGGAGGUGAUUAUUCCCGCGCUCUUGGUCAACGUUUUCGGUAUUUUCUAAGCUCAGGAACGCGAACCCACGAAGGACUGGGUUAAGUAUUGUUACCUGAGAGAAAACAAUCCGUACUGCCUGGCUUCAAAACCGCAUGUGGGUGCUGAGCCUGGAGUGUUGCAUGGCCCAGAACAGAGCCUUGUGCAGGAGGCCUGGGACCUAAGAGACUGGCACGGCCUAAUUUUGCCAUCGCCUUCUUCAUGGGGAGAAUGGCCCUGGAGAGGAUUUGGAACAAGCUUAGAUUGAAACAAAAGAAGACCAGAGCGCACCUGACCCACCCACCUGGUGUCUGAGUUUCUACGAAAAGUGGCUGGUUUGAGAGCUCAUUUUACGAGGGCUCUAAAAAGCUGUAAGUGGGGGCACCUGGGUGGCUCAGUUGGUUAAGCGUCUGCCUUCA